UGGCAGCAUCUCCUCAGGGUUUAAGAUAAGGGUAUUUCCCAGUUUUACUUGGAGAUGCUGCCAUACCCUUCCACCCAAAAUAUAGCAAGAGCCUGCAAAAAAGGUGACUUUCAAAGAGAGAGCCAUGAACCAACAGAACAGCAGGACUAAAGCAGAAGAAUGUGGCAAGCUUAGAAGCCACCUCCUCCAUCUGCUUCAGGAUGACCUCAAUGCGGUCCUGGUAUAUCUGGGCAUCGUUUUGCAGGGAUGCACAUUUCAGCUCCAGCAUCUCCUUCUCUCCCACAA